rnacentral:lncRNA from 1 species
AUGAAUCAUAGCUGCUCUCCAAAUGUGUUGUGGCGUCCGAUUGUACGUGAAAAUAAACAUGAAUCAGAUCUCCAUAUUGCUUUCUUUGCAAUUAGGCACAUCCCUCCCAUGGUGGAGUUAACUUAUGAUUAUGGGAUAAACCUUCCUCUAAAAGCUGGUCAGAGGAAAAAGAAAUGCUUAUGCGGAUCUGUGAAAUGCAGGGGUUACUUUUGUUAA